GUAGGUGGCAAGCGUUGUCCGGAAUUAUUGGGCGUAAAGCGCGCGCAGGCGGUUCUUUAAGUCUGAUGUGAAAGCCCACGGCUCAACCGUGGAGGGUCAUUGGAAACUGGAGAACUUGAGUACAGAAGAGGAAAGCGGAAUUCCACGUGUAGCGGUGAAAUGCGUAGAGAUGUGGAGGAACACCAGUGGCGAAGGCGGCUUUCUGGUCUGUAACUGACGCUGAGGCGCGAAAGCGUGGGGAGCAAACAGGAUUAGAUACCCUGGUAGUCCACGCCGUAAACGAUGAGUGCUAAGUGUUAGGGGGGUUUUCCGCCCCCCUUAGUGCUGCAGCUAACGCAUUAAGCACUCCGCCUGGGAGUACGGCCGCAAGGCUA
rnacentral:rRNA from 1 species